AUUGAACGCUGGCGGCAGGCCUAACACAUGCAAGUCGAGCGGAUGAAGGGAGCUUGCUCCUGGAUUCAGCGGCGGACGGGUGAGUAAUGCCUAGGAAUCUGCCUGGUAGUGGGGGAUAACGUCCGGAAACGGGCGCUAAUCCCGCAUACGUCCUGAGGGAGAAAGUGGGGGUUCUUCGGACCUCACGCUAUCAGAUGAGCCUAGGUCGGAUUAGCUAGUUGGUGGGGUAAAGGCCUACCAAGGCGACGAUCCGUAACUGGUCUGAGAGGAUGAUCAGACACACUGGAACUGAGACACGGUCCAGACUCCUACGGGAGGCAGCAGUGGGGAAUAUUGGACAAUGGGCGAAAGCCUGAUCCAGCCAUGCCGCGUGUGUGAAGAAGGUCUUCGGAUUGUAAAGCACUUUAAGUAGGGAGGAAGGGCAGUAAGUUAAUACCUUGCUGUUUUGACGUUACCAACAGAAUAAGCACCGGCUAACUUCGUG
rnacentral:rRNA from 1 species